CUUUUUUUUUUUUUAAGAGAGAGAGAGGGAAAAAGGAGACCGAUCGGCGACGCUAUAGCUUUGGGUAAUUUCAGGACCCGUCUUGAAACACGGACCAAGGAGUCUAGCAUGUACGCGAGUCAUUGGGAAUCGCUAAACCUAAAGGCGUAAUGAAAGUGAAGGUCUUCCUAGCGAAGACCGAGGGAAGACGGACGGUUAUAUUUUAUAGAUAUCGAGUAAAAUCGAGACCGUCCCGCAUUCCCGGGGCGUCUCGUUCACAUCGCGUGAAGAGGCGCACCAAGAGCGUACACGCUGGGACCCGAAAGAUGGUGAACUAUGCC
rnacentral:rRNA from 1 species